GAAAUCCAGAGAAUCAUGAGGGGGUAGGGCAGGCUUAGAAAAGGGAGAAUCUGCUGCCAGAGAGGCCAGAUGCCAUGAGUCCAAAGGAAUCAUCCCGCCCCCAGCAGACAAGCGUGGAGCCAGCCUGCUCCUCUGGCCAAAGCAUUCCACCCCCGGACCUCUCCUCCAGGAAGAAGAGAUGUGGAAGAAGAGAUGUGGGUAUGGUGGAUUCUGACCCUUGGCUCCCCAAAGUUCCACAGAGCCCAGCUCCCACUGAAGGCAUAUGACCCAGAUCCUGAGAACCAGAUGCACCGGCCUGAGCUUUCGUCAGAAGCAAGGACACACAGAACCUUUCUUAGAGGCAUCAUUAGAGGACCGGACAUGGUGGCCAGAGGCUGCAGGGACAGAAGUCCCAGGGCCAUGUCCAGGAACUGGGCUCAGGGGACCUCCUGGUGCCACCUGCAUAUCUGAGCCCAUGGAGUUCCUCUGGUCUAUUCAGUUCUCUCAUUUUAACUUAAUUUUGUUUUUGUAGGCUUUCUUAAAAAAUUGCCCAGUUCAUUUACCUGAUCACGUUUAUUGUUCAGAGUUGAGUGUGGUUCUCUCGUAAUUAUUUAGUCUCCACUGGGUCUGUGAUUAUAUUUCCUUUCUUAUUGCUAAUGCUGUUUGUGUUUGAUUUUCUUCUUUUUUUUCUUGGCCUGACUUAAAGAGGUUUGUCUGUUUUAUCUUUAUUUUAAAAAUAACCAACUGUUUAUUUUUACUUCUCCACUGUGAUUUCCCCCUUUAUUUCUUUAAUGUUUGAGUUUAUAUUUUUUCCUAUUUAUUUUGGCUUAAAUUUUAUUAUCAUUUUGCUAUAUCCUUGUGUCAAGCGCUUAAUUCAAUUAUUUUGUUAUUUUGACUUCUAAAAAAUCAGUUAAUUCUAUAAGUUUUCCUCUAUGUACUACAUUGAGCAAACUCCACAGAUUUCUGUAGGGGGCAUACUAAUUGUAAUUCAAUUUCGUUUUCCAUGUGUAGGUCCAGAUUUAUUUGAAUGUCCAAAUACUUAGAAUUGUAGGCUCUUGUUUUGUUAUUAAAGUCUGGUUUUAUUACAUUGUGUUUAGAGAAAAUAAUAUGGAGGAUUUUAAUUUUAGAUAAAGCAUUAAUAUCUUUUUUAUCCUCAAACAUGAUCAAUUUUUGACAGUGUUCCAAAAAUAUACUAUGAAAUAUAUAUUAUCUGUUGGAAUAGAGUAAUAUAUGUACACACUCUGCCAUGUGCAUAUGUUUAUAUAUCAUAUUUAGUCAAUGGUAGUUGUGUUAGCCAAGUCCUGGAGUCAUCUCGAUUCAAGUUUGUUGAGGCAGAAUUGUCAAUUUCGUCCUCAGCUCAGCUUCAACUACUUAACAGAACCUGAUUCAUAUAGGAAUUAAGUAAAUGUUUGUUGAAUGAAAUUCAGUGUCCCCAACCUUUUUGGCACCAGGGACUGGUUUUGUUGAAGACAGUUUUUCCAUGGAUGAUGGUAGGGGAUGGUUUCAGGAUGAUUCAAGUGCAUUACCUUUAUUGUGCACUCUAUUUCUAUUAUUAUUACACUGUAAUUAAUGAAAUGAUGGUAAAACUCACAAUAAUGUAGAAAUCAGUGGGAGCUCUGAGCUUGUUUUCCUACAACUAGAUGGUCCUCUCUGGGGGUGAUGGGAGACAGUGACAGAUCACCAGGCAUUACAUUCUCAUAAGGAGUGUGCAACCUAAUAUAGAUUCCUCGCAUGCACAGACCACAAUAGGGUUCGUGCUUCUAGGAGACUCUAAUGCCACCACUGAUCUGACAGGGGGUGGAGCUCAGGUGGUAAUGUGAGCCAGGAGGAGUGGCUGUAAAUACAGAUAACACUUCGCUCACUCACUUGCCAGUCACCUCCUUCUGUGUGGCCUGGUUCCUAAUGGGCCAUGGACUGGUACUGGUUCAUGUAGCUUUGCUAAAUUUUUCUGCAUUUAAAAUAUAUUUUAUUGAGAUAUUUCUGGAACUUUUGGGUGCCUAGAUUUGUGAUGUUAUACAGUGGUGCUCAUUUUAGGAAUAUUUAUUAAAUGCUUUUGGUGUGCUGGGCACUGUGCUAAGCACUAGAAAUACAAUGGCAGAUAAAAGAAUCUAGUGGCCUCCUGCACUUUAUGAUUCAUACAUUAUAGCUACAAAACAAACAAUAAACAAGCAGAUAAAUAAGUAUUAAUUUAAAAGAAUCCCGGUUGGUGCUAUGAAGGAAACAAAUGAGCAGCCUUUUCAAGGUAUGGAGGGGAUGGGACUGUUUGUGGGACGGUCAGGAAGGUCUCCCUGGGGAGGGCGCACUGAAGCCAAGGCCAGAGGACAGGUGGCCAGCCCCAUGAAAAGCUGGGGCAGGCUUCCAGGCAAAGAGACCAUGCCUUUUGUAAAUGUGGCAUCCCCUUCUCUCAUUUAAUGUGUUACCUUGAGUUCUACGUUGGAAAUACUGCUUCUGUCUUCUUUUUGUUAGUGCUUACAUGAUCCAUAUUUAUCUACACAAUUAUACAAUCCAUACAAUUAGGUAUUAUGAUGGUUAAUUUUAUGUGUCAAUGUGGUGUGCCUAAGGGAUGCCCAGAUGGCUGGCAGUGCAUUAUAUCCGGUGUGUCUGUGUGGGUGUUUUGGAAGAGGCUGGCAUUUGAAUCGUGGACUGAAUAAGAAGACCCAUCCUCACCAGCGCAGGCAGGCAUUGUCCAAUCCAUUGAGGGCCUGAAUAGAACAAAAAGGUGGAGGAAAAGUGGAUCUACCCUCUCCUGCUUGAGUGGAGACAUCCAUCCUCUCCUGCCCUUGAGCACUGGUGCUCCUGGUUCUCAGGUUUCCCUACCCAAACCGGGACUUAGGCCAUCAGCCACCGCCUUCCCCUUUUCUCAAGCCUUAGGGCUCAGGCUGCAUGUCACCACCGGCUUCCCUGCUUCCUAGCUGACAGAUGGCAGAUUGCAGAAAUUCUCAGCCUCCACAACCACGUGAGCCACUUCCCUGAAUAAGUCUCCUCUUCAUACAGUCCUCCCUUGGUGUGGGUGGGGAUUCGUUCCAGGACCCCCGAGUAUAUCAAACUCCAUGCAUACUCAAGUCCCGCUGUCAGCCCUGCAGAACCCGUGUGUAAGGAAAGGCAGGCCUCUGCAUAAGCAGCCUUCGCUUGCUGGGAAUACUGUGUUUUCCAUCAGAGUUUGGUUGGAAAAUCUGAGUAUAAGUGGAUCCAUGCAUUGAAACCUGUGUUGUUCAAGGGACAAGCAUCGAGGAUAGGCACAGGCUACUGGAGACAAAUAUGGGAAUGUGGCUAUGGGCAAGACAGUGCUGGUGGGGCAGGCAUCACUCCAACAAGCGGACAACAGCAGGGAUCAGUGAGUUGCCAGGGGUCUGGGCAUGAGUGCUGAACAAGUUGGAGGUCUUCCUUGGAGCCGGCCUCAGGCUGGGAGAGGAUUGUGGGGCCUGAGCGGCUCCAGCCUGGAUGGGUCCAGUCAGGAACUCUGCAAGAGGAGCUCACCUGUGCACACAGGGAUGCAUACUGGGAGAGAGGAGAAGCCGGGGUCAGAGGCUCUGGCCCUCUUGCACUGCAUGUGGGGAGCUGCAACUCAGGGAGGCUGCUGGGCAAUGGUCAGUGCCAACAGAGUGGAUGCAUCACAGCCAUGAAGCUGUGGUCAUGCAGAGCACAGCAUGAGAGCCUCUGACCGAGUUGUCUGACUGGGGUUGUGGAUGGAGUUGAUGGGCACAGGGAAGAGAGGAGGAGGGGCUUGCUUAGCAGAAAAGAUACUGAGUUGAGUUGGGGGCAUGUGGAAUUUGAGGUGCCUGUGGGAGACCCAUUUGAGAUGUUCAGUAGACAAGUGGGGGCACCCAGUUGAGCACUGGAAAUGGGGCUCUGGACCCUUGAAGAGAAGCCAGCAGUUGGGUCAUUGCAUGAGAGGUGGUUGUGGUGAUGAUGGGAACUGGUAAGAUUGCUCAGGUUAAAAUGAAGAAAACAAGCCAAGGAAAAACGAUGGUCAAGGCAAAUACAGUAAGGAUCGACGGCAUCCUUGAAGUACUUCUUUGUCUCCAAGAGCAUUCAUUCUAUUUCAUGUGCAAUGAGAAUUCUAGCAUUUUAGCACUGUUUAAAAUUAAUGACUCAGAGGGAAUUCUGGCCCCACACAAGCGCCUGCUAGAUGGGUAAGCCUCGCUGCCUGCCUUUCUGAAUUGCUUGUCGCACAAUUGGGCCAUUCACUGUGUUCCGGGCCCUCUGUGUGUUUCCUCUUUUCCAGCUUAGACCUAUUUGUUAGGGAAAACAAUCUACUUCUCAGGGUUUCAGUUUUAUGUACUGUUGAUCUAUUGCUUUAUUUCUCUAAUCUCUUUCCCACAGUCAAUAGUUUUUACUACCUGGAGCUGAAAACAGCCUACAGGAUACCAAAGCGUGAGUUUAUUUAGAACAAAGAAGACCCUCUGAUUCCAGUGAGGUCAGGGAGGAGGCCAAACAGUCAACCCACUUGCUUAGGACAUGUGGCCUAAACCGUAAUUUGACUUUGCGUUCACUUUUCAACUAGUUGCAUUGGCCUUAUGGUUUUUAUUAAACUGUAAAUCUCUUUACCACAUUGAAAAUUGUGGAACGCAUUUCUUCUUCUCGAGUCUGUGCAUCUGAAGGCCAUAGGUGGACAAGUGCACAGCGCCAGUGGAAAAUGGCUUUUCUGGAAUAUCAGGUUCGGUCCUCAGAGACUAAGAGCACUCCAUGUGGUGGGCAAUAAAUCUGAAUUCUGCUGCGUUUAAUUAAGGUAAUUUUCCUACUUAGCUCCACAUGUGGAGAUGAGAUUCAAUUUUACUGUGCCUUAAAGAACAUGUCCUUUCAAACGUGUCACCAGAAUGGAAUGCGACCACAGAUCGACAUGUGACGAGCCUCUAUCGCCUCAAGGGAGAAGAACUGUGGCAGGAACGCAAUCUGUCCCGUUCUCCUGCUCCUGUGGGUUUUUCCAUUGCAUGGAUAUGGGUUGUGAGGGAAUGGAGUCCCUCUACAGAGAUAUCAGAUGCAGAUGGAGGGCAGAGCAGGGUGAGAAGUUGAGCCAGAGGAGGAGACAGAUUGUUGGAUAAUGUUUUCUUGCUAGGUACAGUGUCAGUGAAUAAAUAUUUUGAUCAUCAGAAAGACCAAGGAUCCAUAUUCCUGACUCUUUUGCAGAAUAAUUAAUAAACGUUAUGGGAAUCACCUAGUAUCUCCAUAUCAUCCAUACUGUGAGGGUUGAUUUUAUGUGUUGACCAGGUUAAGGAUGCAGACAGCUGGUCAGACAUUAUUUCUGGGUGUGCUCGUGAGUGUGUUUCCAGAAGAGAUGAGCUUUUGAAUCAGUGGACUGAGUAAGAAGGUCCGCCCUCACCCAUGUGAUUGGGCACCAUGCAAUCUGUUGAGGGCCCAAAAAGAACCGAAAGGCAGAAGGGAAAAUUCUCUCUUUCUCUCCUUGGGCUGGGUUGCCCCUUUUCUCCUGCCUGCAGACACAAGCACUUUUGGUUCUCAGGCCUGCAGACUCAGACUUGAACCUACACUGUUGGCUUUCUUGAUUCUCAGGCCUUCAGGUUUGGGCUGAAUCACACCACUGGCUUUCCUGGGCUCCAGGGUGUCGAUGGCAGAUCGUGGGGUCUCUCAGCCUCCACAAUCCCAUCAGCCAAUUCCCAUAAUCAAUCUCUUUUUAUCUAUAUCUAUAUAUAGAUAUCUCUCUCUCUAUCUUAUUAUUCUGUUUCUCUGGAGAAUGCUAAUACAGAGUUCUUGAAAAGACUCUGAAAACAACCACAUCACCACCAAGGGAACAUGGAGCCUCCUGGGUCACGAGAGGCCUGAGAGGCAUGGUGGACGUGCCUGAGUUUCCUCUACAGGGUUCUUGUUAAGAGGUGGCCCAACCCAUGCUUGGCCACGUUGAGAAAAAGGAAACGCAUCCUCCCAAAGGAAGGCCCGUUCCACUGCUGGAGAAUUCAGGCUACUGAAAGCUUCUUGCUUAUGUGAUUUUGCCCAAUUCCGUUUCCGAGUCUGUCCCUUUUGUUCUAGUCCCUUCUUUUAGAGGAACAUGGAGCAAUAACAAUGACUCUUACCGAGGCCAAUUCUCUAUUAGGCUCCAGGCAGCCAAGGUGACAAAGGAUGUGUAUCCUCAUCCUUCAGAAGGUGAUAGUUGAGAGGAGCGUGGGAGAAAACCAUAAGCCCCCCAAGGUUAGGGUCACAUCUAUUCAUCUGUAUUUUGGUGACUAGCAGAGCACCUGGCAAAAAGUAGACUCUUCAGAUAGUUUUGAGAGGCCCGGGAAACACAAGAACUACAUUACCCUUCUCUAGUUACUCUUCUAUCCUGUUGUCAAACUUGGCCUCACCAGUGAAAACCUGCCUCACCUUGGUGGCUACUCCAGCUAAGCUCCUGCUUCCUGCCCUCACAGCUGGCUUACAGCAUCAAGCCCCAUGGGAUGAGUGCUCCAUCCUGACUGCCAUGUCUGCACUGUGUCUGCACAGUGUCUGUGAGGCCCCAUCUGUCAUGACCCGAUGCUGGCCAGCCUGGCCUGGGCAGAGCUCCGAGGAGCAUGUGAGUGCUUGAACACAUGCACAAUGCAACCCCCACCAUGGAGUCUAUGCUUCUUGGAUGCUCACUCCACGAGGUGAGGGGCAUGGGAUAGUUGUCUCUGCUCUGUGUGAACUCAGUCUGGCCUGGUAGAUAACACAGACAUGCAAGGCAACUGUGGUAAGUGACAGAGAAGCUGCCAGUUGGCCCUGUAGUUGAGAGGAAGAGUAAUGUGCAGUGUCAGCGUGCUGUCCAAGGAGUUCUUGGCAUGGCUGGAGGCACUUCACACCUGAAGAUGGCUGGUCAGACCACUGGAACAUCCCUCGUUAGGCACCAUGUGUCAGAAGCCUCAUUAGUGUAUCAAGGAAUGCUCAGGCUUCCUGGAGGAUUCAUCCAUUCACAGUUGCUAAAAGGAAGCCUACCGUGUGCUAGAUGGGGCUGGACCAGGCCCUCCACCUUUGUGACCUUGUCCUGCUGUUUAAGGAGUCCAGUGCAUUCUGCAUUGGCGAUUACCUAGUUAGGGUGACCAGAGUGAGCAAAUAAAACACAAGAUGCCCAGUUAAAUUUGAAUUUUAGAUAAACAGUAAAUUUUUCAGUUGUACUACACAAAGGAACAUAUUAAAAUUCUUUGCUGUGGAGGCAAAUAUAAAACUAGGUAGAAUAGGCAAGGUGUGGUGGCUCAUGCUUGUAAUCCCAACAUUUGGGAGGUCGAGGUGGGAGGAUGGUUUGAGUCCAGGAGUUUGAGAGCAGCCUUGGCAACAUAGACCCCAUAUCUACAAAAAAAAUUAGCUGGUGUGGUGGCAUGCCCCUGUAGUCCCAGCUACUCAAGAGGCUGAGUCAGGAGGAUUGUUUGAGCCCAGGAGGUGGAGGCUGCAGUGUGCUGUGAUCAUGCCACUGCACUCUAGCCUAUGUGGCAAAGCAAGACCAUGUCUCAAAAAAAAAAAAAAAAAAGAAAGAAAAAGAAUAAGAAAAUAGGAUGUAAGAAGGAAGAGAGAGAGAAGUCACAGUUACCAUUGCUAGUGGGAGGUGACUAGGUAGAAAACUCCAGGUUGGCUAACCUCCCUUCAGCUUUGCCAAGAGACCAGUCUAUGCCAUGGCCAGUGAUGGACCCAGCCCAAGGUGCACACAGGUGAUUGGGUUGGGGAGAGUGUGGAAGACCAAGUCUGGUUUUCCUUCCCUUCAGAACCCACUACAGAAAUGAACAGUGGGGGACUCCAGUUCUCACCCUGGAGCCAAGAUGGCAAGGUGACAGCAUGUCAUAACAGCUGUUCAGAGCUAGGACUCAGGGAUCAAGCUGAGCUGCACACCAACUGGGGUGCUGUGGGCGAGCAAUCCCUUAUUAUAUCUAAGGCAGAUAAGAGAAGGAGUUAACCCCUAAGGAUCUUGUAAGGAUUAAAUUAGUUAAUGUAGGGAAAGGUGUUAGUUAAAUUCCUGGUCCAUAGUAUCUAUUUUAUUUUAAUUCCUAAGAAAAUAUAGUAUCUCUGUGUCUGCUUCAUCGACCAGACUGUAUUGCAGAUGGUUUAAGACCAGGCAGCAAAUUUGAGGUGGAGUCAUGGUUAUCAGAAUGGCUGCCCAGACCACAAAGCUGAUUUAUCUCAAUCAUAACAGCAGCAAAUUCCUGUUAUUGUAGUGAAUCACAGCAUGUAAGCGCACAGAUGCAGGCGCCGGGGUUCAGAGGGCUGGGUUGUGUGGGGAGGGUAACGAAAAACAGACACUUGCAGGGCCCUAACAAUGUGUGUAGCAACUGAACCUGCAGCCUGCUUACACAAAACAGGCCUUAAUGAAACUCAGUUUCAAAAUGGAAUAUUUUUCCUAAAUGAUAAGGUAUUGCAUAUGGUUCUUUUCCCAUUGUGUAGUAAUUCCUUCUAAAGCAAACAUUUUAAAGAUUUUAACUGAGGUUGGAAAACUAAAACUUGCCUCAGUAUAAAAAUGUCGAAGCCAUCUGCUAGAAAAUCACAGCUCUGCGAUAUAAAACACCCAGAGCUGUGUUGCUCAAACUAAUUUAAUCACAAAAUACCAUUUCCUUGAUCCGAAGGGAAACAUUUCUACUUGGCCACUAGAGCUUUCUGGAGAAAGGCACUUAUAUUUGCAGUAAGGUAUAUUAGUAAUUUUGAAUUUCAAAGAGAAAACAGAGCAGGGAUUUUGGAAAACAUAUGUUGAAAGGGUAAUUUCAAUUCUUUGCAGAUGAGAAAAGUUUUUGUUAAAACAACUGACAGACACUGAGAAACAUGGCCAUCAGUUUGAAGGAAAGUAAUUGAGUUGUGCAGUUUGCAUUUUAUUUUGCACACGUUUAACAAUUAAAAGCUUUUCUGUACUAUGAGAACAAAACCCCCCAAACACCAAUGCAAUGGCAGAAAGUUGGGAGUCAAAUCAGGCAGCACACACACGAACACUGUGUUCACAUGAUGAGGACCACAUUUUUGAGACAUUUUCUGAAAAGAACCUGUAUAUGUGUGUGUGUGUAUGUAUAUAUUCUUUUUUCCUGCCAGAAUCUCUUGUUGAAUGAUCAUCAAGUUAGUUCUGGAAAAUAGGUUCCAAUAUUGCUCCAUUCAUUGGCAUAGGUUGACUUUAUCUUAUUCCAAUUUAAUUGGCAGCUGUUUUCUUAGAUAGUUUUGCAUAAAAUGGUGCUCAGAGAACAAGUAGAGUUUUAAACAUGACACAGUCGUGUAUUUGAGGAUGUUUAUGUUAUAUAUGUGCUUGUUAAUUUAGUAGUUAUGAGUUUAAUAAUAACUUUGAGCUCUUUAGACAUGGAUCCUCAUAUAUAUUAACAAAAUCAGCUGUGUGCCUUAACCAACAGUGAGCAUAUUUUUUAAAAUGGGCCUCUGAAUUGAAAAUUUAAAAAAACCCUUCAGCAUCCUAUUAGGAUUGAUUAACCCACAGGAGGGUAAUCCUGGUAAGCAAACGUAACCAAGAUUCUCCUUCCCCAGUGAUUCCAAGUGCAGCCUGGCUCUCCUGGUCAGGUGCUUCCUUUACUCAAUAUUUCCUGAUCUGUUCCUAGAUCCUAAUACCACCCUCUGCGUCAACCUGUGAAUGCAUCCUCACUACCAGGGCUCAGGACUUGGAGCCGGGAUUUUGCUGACAUGGUCUUUUCUCUGGUUGUCACCUUCCAUUUCUUCUUUGGUUUGCCUUUCAUUUUAAUGCCAGAUUUUCUAAGUGUAAGAAAGGAGGGUGGAGAGUGGGCAGAAGUCAUUGUUUCCAUCAUGAAAGUCAACAUCAGUAUUUCCUGUCCUGGGGACAAACCAGUGCCUCAUGUUUCUGGAAACGCUGCAGCAUUUAACUUCAAUUUUAAUCUGGAUAACGCCAAAGCUUUUCCUCAAAUUCACCCCUGGAGUCAGCUCAUAGAUGCUCUGAUUUUGUCUACCAUUGCUCCUCCUUAAUAUCUCUCGCACAGGUGCCAUUGACCUUUAGAUGGGCUGUACGGUGUGGGGUUCGGUGCCAUGGAUCUGCUUCUCCAGGGACCAGGAUCUUGAGAUCUUCAGGCUGGGUUUCCAUGGAGGCAUGGAGCUGCUUUUCCUCCUUCAUAACUGCACUCAAAACAGCCCUGUUGCUCUAGAAUGGAGACUUGGGCAACUCCUUCUGGCACAGAUUUGUUCACCUCAGGUGAAAUUCAGAUAGAAGCAAGCUGCAGGCAGUUUCACCUCUAAGUCCAUGGGUUCUCAACUGGUAACGUCCUCUUAUGGAUGUUAGCCCAUGAGGUCAAUCCUGUAGCAAUCUAAGGCUUGAGAAAAAUUAAUCUUCUGGAAAAUUCCAAGAAUACAUCUUAGGGAAACUGGCUCUACCUUUAUGACUUGGAUCACACAAGGAUAUGCUUUUCAUCUUGGACUAGAACUGAGAGCCAAUGGAUGUGUUAUCUAAAACUAUCCCAGUGUGUUCACUAUACAGAGGAAGAUUCUGAGAUUCAAGACUCAAGACUGAAGAAGAUCAUUAUUUUUAUUAUUUUAGUCUUAUGCACAAAAUGAUAUCUACUGAAUAAGCAGGUUUUUAAUAGGUGACUUAUAUAUGUUAGCAAAAAUAAACACUUUGUCUUUUAGAUCUAUUCUAGUUUUUCAGUAGCUGUAGACUUAAGUGCUAACUUUUAGCCCAUAGGAUAAGAAGAAACCAAGUCCUAAAAGUAGGCCAGCACCAGGGUUCAGGCCUCUGACUUCAAGCCAAGGGCUCAUCAUCUUGAAUUGCGCACGAAUUUUUACACAGCGCCAAAGGAAACUGCCUGUACUUACUGUUGUAGGUGCUUUGCUGGAUUCAGGAUGCAGACAAGGUCCACGCAUUGUGGUUGGAACAAUGACUAGAUCUUUACCUGGUCCACAGCCCUCCCCAGUCUGGCUGCAACCUCUCAUGAGGCUGAGCUCACCAUGAACCCCUGCUCUAGGCGUCUGCAUAGUGUUCUGUUUGUCCCCGUGACUGUCCACCUCUUCUUUGGCCUGUUGGCAUGCGCUUAUCCUCCAGACCUCAGUCCAAAGUUCAGUCCCGGAGCAGACACAACCCUGUUUGCAGAGAGCCAACAUUCUAAUUGACAGUGCGUGGUGGGAAACAGUGAACCGAGGGAAAGAGUGCCAGUGUUAGAGAGCCACAGUGCAGUGAAGAAGAGAAGGCAAGAGGAUGUGAUGCAAAAUCACAGGACCUGGCUUCCAGACCAUUCUGCUUCCAUGAGAACAUUUCAGUUGAGAACCGGAUGGCAUGAAACUUUAUUGAAGUAUCAGAGAAUCAUUUUCUUAAGAGAUGGUAAUGGAAUCCAUGCAUUUGAAAUAAAUCAACAGAAAAAAAUGAUUCAGAAGAGAGGGAACUAGCCUAAGGACAACUGUGAUAUUGUGAAAUAUAUAUAUGGGUCUUCAUCCUGUGUCCUGGCAUACCUAAAACCCUUGGAAUAUCCAAAGGCAUGCUUUUCAUGUGCAAAUGAUUGACUGAUGUCUUCAGGAUGGAGCCAAUCACCAGAAAUGUCAAAGCAUAAUUAGAGUGUUGGGACUUUCAGCCAUACCCCACACCCCUGACCUUUGGGGAGGAGAGACGGGCAGAAGGUUAAGUCCAUCAACAAUGGCCAGUGAUGUAAUCAGUCAUGCCUAUGUAAUGAAGCUUCCAUAAAAAUCCCAAAGGACUGGGUCUGGAGAGCUUCUGGAUAUCUGAGCACAUGGAGGUUCCUGGAGGGUGGUGCCUGGGGCAGUCAUGGAAGCAUCUCAUCCCUUCCCACAUGCCUUGCCCUAUGCAUCUCUUCAUCUGUAUCCUUUAAAAUAUCUUUGUAAUAAACUGCUA
rnacentral:lncRNA from 10 species